GACGGGGGAGGGGGGGGGCAAGUGUUCUUCGGAAUGACUGGGCGUAAAGGGCACGUAGGUGGUGAAUCGGGUUGAAAGUGAAAGUCGCCAAAAAGUGGCGGAAUGCUCUCGAAACCAAUCCACUUGAGUGAGACAGAGGAGAGUGGAAUUUCGCGUGUAGGGGUGAAAUCCGUAGAUCUACGAAGGAACGCCAAAAGCGAAGGCAGCUCUCUGGGUCCCUACCGACGCUGGGGAGCGAAAGCAUGCGGAGCGAACAGG
rnacentral:rRNA from 1 species